GGUAGGUAAAAUAGGCUUGUCAUCGUGAGGCAUCAAGGGCAAGUAAUUGAAUAGAUGUGGGUAGGCUAAAUUCACCUAAUUGAUAAAGAAAAAUCCAAAAAUCAUACAUCCUAGGCAAACAAGGCAUGUUAGGUCCUAACAUUCUCAUUUUAUUGAAUUCACUAAUUAAUUAUUUUGCUUUCUAUUAUUUUCUCUACAAUUAGCUAUUAUCUAUUACCAUUCUUUUAUUUAUUU
rnacentral:lncRNA from 1 species